rnacentral:lncRNA from 1 species
UGGCUACAGAUCUGGCUUGCAGACGCAGGCACUGAGUCAAUGGGAUGGAAUAGAUCUUUCCACUUUGUAUCUUUUUAUACUUUUUGAGUUUUCAUAUAUGGUAAUAUAUUAUUUAUUUUUUAAAUUAUUUUUAAUAAAGAAAGAAGGGGAGAGGAGUGGGAGGAGAAAACAGAAAAGCAACAGCAAAAUCUCAUAUAUUUGGGCAGCAUCAAAUUCCAAAUUGUGUUCACUUUCUAACAGCCUGUUAAAGCAUAAGGUACCUGAGAUAUCCUCACUACAACCAAUCCAUGACCAGAUGUUUGUUCAUUUAGGUGACCCUGUACUGCUUCUUAAUACAGCCUAGGAGGGCACAAAGGAAGGUAGAAUGAGCAUGCAGAGGGAACCAGGCUGCAAAGAUGCAACCCAGAACUAAGAAAAGCCAACUGAAGACAACUGAUGAUAAAUACAAGGAGUGUUCUCUGGCAUUGCCUCAGUCUUGCAUCAUUUCUUUUUCCUCAACAGCUGGGUGAAAAUUUCUUCACAGCACCUACGUAUUUACAACAUAAGAAAAACUCAAGUCUGACAAUCCAAUGACAAAAAACACUCCACGCGUAGGCAUGCCAGGUCGUAAGACCUCCAUUUCGGAAGGCAUCUCGCUCUAUAUUCUGGAGGAGGGAAUGCUGCACAGAGAGGCCAAGAAGAAUCUGAACAGUCAGGCAUUGCUGGGUUUCUCUUUCAGUCCAUUAGCAUUAGAUCAGACCCUUUUUGUACA